rnacentral:misc_RNA from 1 species
GAUGAAGAACGCAGCGAAAUGCGAUAAGUAGUGUGAAUUGCAGAAUUCCGUGAAUCAUCGAUCUUUGAACGCACAUUGCGCCUUCUGGUAUUCCGGAAGGCAUGCCUGUUCGAGAGUCAUUAACAACCGUUUCGAUCCCUUUCUUUCAGAAAUUACAAAGAGGAAAAGGGUUUGGUUAUGGUGGAGGAGGGAAAGGGAGCGUUUAGCCUGUAAAAAAAGAGGCUGUGUUCCGCCUCCCCCCCAAAAUUGUACAGGCGGUCGUGUGCGCCCACGCAUCGAGGUGUUGUAAAAGCUGCCACGGCACUUUUCACCUGUGCAGUGCGAGAUUGGCCAGCCGGUUUAAAAACCCCUCCAAACAAUCAAAGGUUGACCUCGGAUCAGGUAGGGAUACCCGCUGAACUUAAGCAUAUCAAUAAGCGGAGGA